rnacentral:lncRNA from 1 species
AAAUAUAACCGACUCCAACGGCUCUAUUAUAAUCUCUAUAUAACAUGGAUCCAUCCAUUGGGAUUAGACCUAAAAACGCUCUCACGCACAACUUCUAAUUCUUUCUUCUUUGAGUGAAAUAAAAUCAAAACUCUCUAAUUCGAUGAUGAUCCAAUUAGUAGACAUUGAAGACGUGAAAAGCCGAUGAUGAUCAUCUCUGCAACAUGAUCCGUAAGAGUUAGAUUGAUAUCGGAGCGGAAAGCAUCGUUUCAUUGAUUGAUCGGCGUGGAAAGUAUCGUUGAUCCAAUCUCGUAAAGCCGAUAGGAUUCAUGUAGAGCCACUCUCGGCAACAAAUCCAUCCGGUUAUUUUCCUUGUUAAGAAGAUCUCAACGGAUUCAUCUCAGAACCUACCCGUAAGAGAUGGAUCGUCUCGUUUCGUAUAUUGAUUUAUAUCCUCUGUUGUGCAUUUGAUAUCAUAACAGUCAAACCCUAAUUCCAUAUGGAUCACCACCGCAACACUU